CUGAAGCGUCCCCAGAUCUGCCGCCAGUGCCAAAUCCACCUCCUUAACAGAAAAAAAUGCUCCCUCCGAGCAACACCGGAUAUCACAAGCGGUGAUAAGGUCAACGCCGCCACCGAUGCAAGCACCGUCGAUCUCCGCCACCACCGGCUUCCGGCACCGCUCGAUCGCAGUGACGGAAGCCUGCAGGGAGAGGAUAUUGCGUCGGAGGAGCUCACGAGCGGCGGCGGGGUCGGAGGAGGGAGAGGGAGCAG
rnacentral:misc_RNA from 1 species